UACGUAGGGGGCAAGCGUUGUCCGAAUUCACUGGGCGUAAAGCGCGCGUAGGCGGACAUUUAAGUUGUGGGUGAAAUCCCGGGGCUCAACCCCGGAACUGCCUGCAAAACUGGGUGUCUUGAGGUAUGAAGAGGGAAGUGGAAUUCCAGGUGUAGCGGUGAAAUGCGUAGAUAUCUGGAGGAACACCCGUGGCGAAGGCGGCUUCCUGGUCAUAUCCUGACGCUGAGGUGCGAAAGCCAGGGGAGCGAACGGG
rnacentral:rRNA from 1 species